UUGAACGCUGGCGGCAGGCCUAACACAUGCAAGUCGAGCGGAUGAAGGGAGCUUGCUCCUGGAUUCAGCGGCGGACGGGUGAGUAAUGCCUAGGAAUCUGCCUGGUAGUGGGGGAUAACGUCCGGAAACGGGCGCUAAUACCGCAUACGUCCUGAGGGAGAAAGUGGGGGAUCUUCGGACCUCACGCUAUCAGAUGAGCCUAGGUCGGAUUAGCUAGUUGGUGGGGUAAAGGCCUA
rnacentral:rRNA from 1 species